rnacentral:rRNA from 1 species
GAUGAACGCUAGCUACAGGCUUAACACAUGCAAGUCGAGGGGUAACGAGAGGAAAGCUUGCUUUCCUUGUCGACGACCGGCGCACGGGUGAGUAACGCGUAUCCAACCUGCCCCCAACUAGGGAAUAACCUUGCGAAAGUAAGACUAAUACCCUAUAAUUUCCUCAGAUGUCAUCUGACGAGGAAUAAAGAUUUAUCGGUUGUGGAAGGGGAUGCGUCUGAUUAGCUUGUUGGCGGGGUAACGGCCCACCAAGGCAACGAUCAGUAGUGGUUCUGAGAGGAAGGUCCCCCACAUUGGAACUGAGACACGGUCAAAAUUCCUACGAGAGGAAGCAGUGAGGAAUAUUGCACAAUGGGCGCAAGCCUGAUGCAGCCAUGCCGCGGGUAUGAAGAAGGCCUUCGGGUUGUAAAGUACUUUCAGCGGGGAGGAAGGCGGUGAAGUUAAUAACUUCACCGAUUGACGUUACCCGCAGAAGAAGCACCGGCUAACUCCGUGCCAGCCGCCGCCGUAA